rnacentral:rRNA from 1 species
GAUGAACGCUGACAGAAUGCUUAACACAUGCAAGUCAACUUGAACUUCGGUUUGGGUGGCGAACGGGUGAGUAACGCGUAAAGAACUUGCCUCACAGAUAGGGACAACAUUUGGAAACGAAUGCUAAUACCUGAUAUUAUGAUUAUAUGGCAUCGUAUAAUUAUGAAAGCUAUAUGCGCUGUGAGAGAGCUUUGCGUCCCAUUAGCUAGUUGGAGAGGUAACGGCUCACCAAGGCGAUGAUGGGUAGCCGGCCUGAGAGGGUGAUCGGCCACAAGGGGACUGAGACACGGCCCUUACUCCUACGGGAGGCAGCAGUGGGGAAUAUUGGACAAUGGACCAAGAGUCUGAUCCAGCAAUUCUGUGUGCACGAUGAAGUUUUUCGGAAUGUAAAGUGCUUUCAGUUGGGAAGAAAAAAAUGACGGUACCAACAGAAGAAGUGACGGCUAAAUACGUG